rnacentral:rRNA from 1 species
GGCUCAGAUUGAACGCUGGCGGAAUGCUUACACAUGCAAGUCGAACGGUAGAGGGGGCAACCCCUUGAGAGUGGCGAACGGGUGAGUAAUAUAUCGGAACGUGCCCAGUCGUGGGGAUAACGUAGCGAAAGUUACGCUAAUACCGCAUACGAUCUACGGAUGAAAGCGGGGGGACUCGCAAGAGCCUCGCGCGAUUGGAGCGGCCGAUAUCAGAUUAGGUAGUUGGUGGGGUAAAGGCUCACCAAGGCGACGAUCCUUAGCUGGUCUGAGAGGAUGAUCAGCCACACUGGGACUGAGACACGGCCCAGACUCCUACGGGAGGCAGCAGUGGGGAAUAUUGGACAAUGGGCGCAAGCCUGAUCCAGCCAUGCCGCGUGCAGGAUGACGGUCCUAUGGAUUGUAAACUGCUUUUAUACAGGAAGAAACACUCCGACGUGUCGGAGCUUGACGGUACUGUAAGAAUAAGGAUCGGCUAACUCCGUG